rnacentral:tRNA from 1 species
GCCGUGGCCUACUGGUUAGCGCUUCGGACUUGUAACCGGAGGGUUGCCGGUUCGAACCCCGACCAUUAGGCA